AUGGCGGCGACUUCAGCCCUCUGGAUCUUCCUGCUCUUGGUGGUGUUCGCCUUGUCGACGGAAGCGUCGUCGGCUGCAGGUAGCAGCUGGUGCGUGUGCAAGCCAGAGCUGCCGGCGGCGGCGCUGCAGAGGACGCUGGACUACGCGUGCGGCCACGGCGCCGACUGCGCCCCGCUGCUCCCCGGCGGGCAGUGCCACUCCGGCACGGACACGGUGGCGACGCGCUGCUCCUACGCCGCCAACAGCUACUACCACAACGCCAAGGCCAACGGCGGCGGCGCCACCUGUGACUUCGGCGGCACCGCCACCCUCACCUCCACAGACCCCAGUAAGCCUCGUGCUUCGAUCGCUAGCUCUGCCAUCUUCCUUGGAUCUCAGGUGGAUGUGCAUGUACAACUCCAUUGA
rnacentral:rRNA from 1 species